AUUGAACGCUGGCGGCAGGCCUAACACAUGCAAGUCGAGCGGAUGAGUGGAGCUUGCUCCAUGAUUCAGCGGCGGACGGGUGAGUAAUGCCUAGGAAUCUGCCUGGUAGUGGGGGACAACGUUUCGAAAGGAACGCUAAUACCGCAUACGUCCUACGGGAGAAAGUGGGGGAUCUUCGGACCUCACGCUAUCAGAUGAGCCUAGGUCGGAUUAGCUAGUUGGUGAGGUAAAGGCUCACCACGGCGACGAUCCGUAACUGGUCUGAGAGGAGGAUCGGUAACACGGGAACUGGGACACGGGCCAGACUCCUACGGGAGGCAGCAGUGGGGAAUAUUGGACAAUGGGCGAAAGCCUGAUCCAGCCAUGCCGCGUGUGUGAAGAAGGUCUUCGGAUUGUAAAGCACUUUAAGUUGGGAGGAAGGGCAGUAAGUUAAUACCUUGCUGUUUUGACGUUACCAACAGAAUAAGCACCGGCUAACUUCGUGCCAGCCGCCGCAGUAAGAC
rnacentral:rRNA from 1 species